UACGGAGGGAGCUAGCGUUGUUCGGAAUUACUGGGCGUAAAGCGCACGUAGGCGGCUUUGUAAGUCAGAGGUGAAAUCCUGGAGCUCAACUCCAGAACUGCCUUUGAUACUGAGGAGCUUGAGUCCGGGAGAGGUGAGUGGAACUGCGAGUGUAGAGGUGAAAUUCGUAGAUAUUCGCAAGAACACCAGUGGCGAAGGCGGCUCACUGGCCCGGUACUGACGCUGAGGUGCGAAAGCGUGGGGAGCAAACAGG
rnacentral:rRNA from 1 species